CUGAAUCCAGAGUCCCUCUCGCGCCAACAAUAGAGUGAUGCAACUGAAAUUGUUGUUAUAUUAUCUCCUAAUUUUGCAAUUACCAUAAUUAUUGGAAUUAAGCGACUUAAUACCAGAUAAGUUCUAUUUCAUUCGGUCAUUUGCUGGACGUAAUGACUUAAAAGGAGAACAAAUUUAAAUUGGUUCCUUUCUGUGCCCAUUAGGUUACUGUAGAUAAGUCAUCGUAAAGAAGAAAGGAAACAAUUUAAGCGUUUUAGAGAAAGUUCUUCCUCAGCAGGUAUGUCACAUGCUGAGAAUUAUCUGUUCAAAGUUCUUGUUUUAUGGCUUAUAUAAUGUCUUACACCUUAUAGAAGUUUUAUUUACAGAAACAGUACUGAACAUUGUAGUACUUGAUGAUUCCUCAUAAUUUUUGAGUUAAUAAUUACCAAUUCUGUUAUAUAAGCAAAAUAAAGAAAUGAUUCAGCUUUGCAAAAGAAUUCCACAAAACAAGUAUUCAAUUGUGCAAGUAACAGGAUUGACUGGUUAGAGAAGCUUUACAACUUCCCAUUUAAUAAAGAAAAACACUUUCACUUUAUGCACAACAGGAAAUUUUAUUUUAAUCGGUCUUUUCUAUAAUGGCUUUUCCAUUUCAGGAUAAUUUGAAAUAUGGAGUGAUUCCUUUUUUAGUGUAUCUUUCUUUGAUAAUGGCCUAUAUUUUUGGAGAAUUAAGCUCGGUCGUUACUGCGGAUGAAGUGGGCAUCCGAGGCUGCAAAUUCUGAAUAUGACAUUUUGCAUACUGAGCACCAGCCUCUUAUAGUAGCUUGAUUGUUGAUUAUAAUUGAGGAUAAACUAUCUCUUCUUUCCCUUCAAAUAAUAGCUGAGAGUCUUGACAGCAACAUUAAACUGAAGCUGCUAUUUUUUAAAGAUGAUUGUAGGACUAUUAAAUGUGAUUCUUAUCUUUGUAUUUUUGUGUAGCAUACCUUUUUAGUUCCUUCAUGCAAUACAUUUUAAACCAAGGGACUCUUAUCUUUAAGUUGGACGCCUUGGCUACAUACACAAAUAUACAUUUAUAUCUUUGGUUAAUUCCACUAUUAGAUAAAGUUGAUGAUAUGGCAUGAAAGAAUCUUUGUUGUGGCUGUCAACUAAGUCAGAAGAAGUAACGAUGCUUGGCAAAUGACAUUGCAGAAAUAGAUACAUAAAGUCCCAAGGAUCGGAAAGGGCCUCAAUCCACCAAAAACUGAGGCAUGCUUCCCCACAGUUAAAUAAAAAAGCCAGGUAUUAAAAGAGGCUAUCAGUUUUGUUCCUUCGCUUGGUGUUGGUUCCUGCUUUCUGCCAAUUGCUCCAUAAACUUUUUCUCUUAUAGUCACAUCAGGAAAAGGUAAAAGGAUUGGCCAACUUUGCCUUGGCCUAUUGUGAGGAAUUCUUUGGUUUAUAUAAUAUGAAAAACAACGACCAGUAUAGUUAUCUUUAGUUAGUAUUAAUUUGCUUGUCAUCAAAUUAUCUUGGAUUUUCAAUAAAGCUUUCAAUCUUGGCCAGUGAACUUGCAUGAAAUUAGUUGUUCGCCAUCAAGAUUUAAGAUUAAUAUAUCUGGUUUUUGUAUGGAAUAAUCACUGAAGGAUGUUUUGUUGCUUUAAUGAUUUUAUAAACGUUGGAAUAACAAGAAUUUCUCCAUUACGUAUUGCUUGGCAUUUAUGACCUGUCUAAAAAGUGCUGAGUUUCAGCAAAUGGCAGAGCAGAAAUAGGUACCUAAAGUGCCAUGAUCAAAUGGGACCUCAAACUUGAAAGGCUUAGCCAUGCUCUGGUGAUUUCUGUGGAAUUUACCAGGUCCACAACUUCAAUGUUCUUGCUGAGAUAGAAUCUCUACUCUUUUCACUUUUUCUUAGGACUCUUCAUCCACAAAAGCUAAAAAGCGCUGUGUUGUGUUUUAAACCAUAUGCUUUAAAAUAUUGGUUUGGAUUAGCUUUAGGGUGCAAACUUUGGCAGGUGACUAAUACAAUCUAAAUGAGUGUUUUUUGUUGAAAUCUUGCCUACACCUAGGUGUGUGCUUCAUUGGUUCCCAUAUUAUGAGAAACAACAACCAGAAAAAUUAUCUUUAGUCAAUAUGGUUUGCAUGUGCCCCCUAGCGGUUAAGUAGUUGGAGUAACAACCUGGGGUACUAAGGUUCAAAACCCAAUGGAGGUGACUGUAUGAGAAUUUCGCAUUUGCCUAAAUUUCAGUGGACAAAAUUAUUCGAUACUUGUAUUGGUUGGAGGUAGCAAGUAUCUGGUACUUAAUCUAGGCGCAUAGUCUAGACAUGGCCAUGUGUGUGUGUAAGACUUAAUCUCGACUAGCGAACUUGCACGAAAUUAGUUGUUCACAAACAAGAAUAAAAUUGUUGUAUCUGGACUUUGUUGCGUAAUCUUUCAGCAAUGAAGAUAUUUUUUACAUUGAAAUGGAAAAUCUCUGAUAAUUGUUUGUUUUAAAAUAAUUUUAUAAGCUAGGAAUCACAAGAGUUGCUCCAUGGUGGAUUGCUUGGAAUUUAUGAUAUGUGGAAAGAGUGCUGAGACUCAGCGAAUGGCAGAGCAGAAAUAGAUAGCUAAAGUACCCAUGGAAUUUGAGGGACCUCAAACUUGAAAGGCUUAGUCAUGUUCUGGUUACUUUCAUGGAGCAUACCAGGUCCAUGACAACUUAAAUGUUGUUGCUGAGAUGGAAUCUACUCUUUUCACUUUUUCUUAGGACUCUUGAUCCACAAAAAUAAAAAGUGCUACAUUUUCAUUUAAACGAUAUGCUUUAAAAUGUUGCUUAGGAUUAUCCUCCGGGUGCAAAACUUUGACCGUCAACUGAUACAAUUCAAAUUGAGACGUCUGAUUGAAGUUUUGCCUAAGCCUAAUGUGUGGGUUUCUUUGUUUCACAUUGAUGAUGUC
rnacentral:lncRNA from 1 species